rnacentral:lncRNA from 1 species
AGGUUUUCAAUUUUUGGUUAGUGGUGAUUGUAAAUUUGGAGCUCUCCUUCUCCCUACAGUCAAAGCAAGGUAAAAUUUCAUUAUUUCAUAAUUGUUUUUUAAAGUUUGGGUUUUUUCUUUUCUCGAAAUUUUGGGAGCAUUGGAAAUUUAAUAAAACCAGUUAACUAGAGAUAUCAAAAGUUUUCUGUUCAAUCAUAUGUUUGUAAUUAAAACGUAUGAAAUUUGUGAUCAUGAAGAGUUGUGGUAGUCAUUUUUCCAGGUUUUAGACUAGUGUCGUAGUGCCCUACACGGCUACACCACUAAGAACAGACCCAACAAACUGCCGACUGGCAGACUGACGAGCUUGCACACCUUAGUGCACAGUACCCACAACCAGCUUGUAUACCCAAUAGAUUGCAAUUCCCCCACCUUGUGUGUUGAUUUUCUGCUGAUUUUUGUUUUGAGAAGUGCCUGGCAUAUGACUACUGGUAUGUGUCAGGAACCUGAACAAGAAAAUGAGCAAGAAGAAGAACAAGAGGAUGAUGAACAGGAAGAGGAAGAGGCUCCAACUCAUGCAGCAAGACUUACAUGAAGAGAGCAAAGCUAGAAAAACAAAAGAUGGAAAGAGUUUAGAAUGAAACUAGUCAAUGGUAUGUGGGCACAAUUCUAGUGUUAUAAGAGAACAAUGAAUGUUAUUAUAUGUAGGAGGAUGAUGAAUGUGAAUGGUUGUCUUGAUCAUUAUUAAAGUUUAUGUAAGC